UGCAGUCGAACGAACUCUGGUAUUGAUUGGUGCUUGCAUCAUGAUUUACAUUUGAGUGAGUGGCGAACUGGUGAGUAACACGUGGGAAACCUGCCCAGAAGCGGGGGAUAACACCUGGAAACAGAUGCUAAUACCGCAUAACAACUUGGACCGCAUGGUCCGAGCUUGAAAGAUGGCUUCGGCUAUCACUUUUGGAUGGUCCCGCGGCGUAUUAGCUAGAUGGUGGGGUAACGGCUCACCAUGGCAAUGAUACGUAGCCGACCUGAGAGGGUAAUCGGCCACAUUGGGACUGAGACACGGCCCAAACUCCUACGGGAGGCAGCAGUAGGGAAUCUUCCACAAUGGACGAAAGUCUGAUGGAGCAACGCCGCGUGAGUGAAGAAGGGUUUCGGCUCGUAAAACUCUGUUGUUAAAGAAGAACAUAUCUGAGAGUAACUGUUCAGGUAUUGACGGUAUUUAACCAGAAAGCCACGGCUAACUACGUGCCAGCAGCCGCGGUAAUACGUAGGUGGCAAGCGUUGUCCGGAUUUAUUGGGCGUAAAGCGAGCGCAGGCGGUUUUUUAAGUCUGAUGUGAAAGCCUUCGGCUCAACCGAAGAAGUGCAUCGGAAACUGGGAAACUUGAGUGCAGAAGAGGACAGUGGAACUCCAUGUGUAGCGGUGAAAUGCGUAGAUAUAUGGAAGAACACCAGUGGCGAAGGCGGCUGUCUGGUCUGUAACUGACGCUGAGGCUCGAAAGUAUGGGUAGCAAACAGGAUUAGAUACCCUGGUAGUCCAUACCGUAAACGAUGAAUGCUAAGUGUUGGAGGGUUUCCGCCCUUCAGUGCUGCAGCUAACGCAUUAAGCAUUCCGCCUGGGGAGUACGGCCGCAAGGCUGAAACUCAAAGGAAUUGACGGGGGCCCGCACAAGCGGUGGAGCAUGUGGUUUAAUUCGAAGCUACGCGAAGAACCUUACCAGGUCUUGACAUACUAUGCAAAUCUAAGAGAUUAGACGUUCCCUUCGGGGACAUGGAUACAGGUGGUGCAUGGUUGUCGUCAGCUCGUGUCGUGAGAUGUUGGGUUAAGUCCCGCAACGAGCGCAACCCUUAUUAUCAGUUGCCAGCAUUAAGUUGGGCACUCUGGUGAGACUGCCGGUGACAAACCGGAGGAAGGUGGGGAUGACGUCAAAUCAUCAUGCCCCUUAUGACCUGGGCUACACACGUGCUACAAUGGAUGGUACAACGAGUUGCGAACUCGCGAGAGUAAGCUAAUCUCUUAAAGCCAUUCUCAGUUCGGAUUGUAGGCUGCAACUCGCCUACAUGAAGUCGGAAUCGCUAGUAAUCGCG
rnacentral:rRNA from 2 species